rnacentral:rRNA from 1 species
GCAGCAGCCACGGUAAUACAGAGGGUGCGAGCGUUAAUCGGAUUUACUGGGCGUAAAGCGUGCGUAGGCGGCUUCUUAAGUCGGAUGUGAAAUCCCUGAGCUUAACUUAGGAAUUGCAUUCGAUACUGGGAAGCUAGAGUAUGGGAGAGGAUGGUAGAAUUCCAGGUGUAGCGGUGAAAUGCGUAGAGAUCUGGAGGAAUACCGAUGGCGAAGGCAGCCAUCUGGCCUAAUACUGACGCUGAGGUACGAAAGCAUGGGGAGCAAACAGGAUUAGAGACCCCCGUAGUCCCUGUCUCUUAUAC